CCUACGGGUGGCAGCAGUGGGGAAUAUUGGACAAUGGGGGCAACCCUGAUCCAGCCAUGCCGCGUGUGUGAAGAAGGCCCUCGGGUUGUAAAGCACUUUCAGUGAGGAAGAACGCCUGGUGGUUAAUACCCAUCAGGAAAGACAUCACUCACAGAAGAAGCACCGGCUAACUCCGUGCCAGCAGCCGCGGUAAUACGGAGGGUGCGAGCGUUAAUCGGAAUUACUGGGCGUAAAGCGCGCGUAGGUGGCUUGAUAAGCCGGUUGUGAAAGCCCCGGGCUCAACCUGGGAACGGCAUCCGGAACUGUCAAGCUAGAGUGCAGGAGAGGAAGGUAGAAGUCCCGGUGUAGCGGUGAAAUGCGUAGAGAUCGGGAGGAAUACCAGUGGCGAAGGCGGCCUUCUGGACUGACACUGACACUGAGGUGCGAAAGCGUGGGUAGCAAACAGGAUUAGAUACCCUUGUAGUC
rnacentral:rRNA from 1 species